UUGGAAAGAGGUUUUCAAUAGGAGGAGAGAAUCUAUAUCUGAAAUAGAAGAGGAAAAUUUGACGAGAAUAGAGAAAAAGAAGAUGGUUAAAGAAGUGAUGAAGAAUUGUGGUGCCAUAAUAACGUAGUGAAGGGCAUGCACAUGAUGCACACGCACUUGCACUAGAAUGAUGAUGUUAGUCAGCCGUUCUGGAAGGCGAAGAGAGAUGGCGUUGCAUUUUUGAGAUGGAGGAAGUGAAAGAGAGAAACGCAGGGAGCAGGAAGAAACAGAGCUAAUAAUAGAACACAUGAAUACGAGGAUGGUUGGUUGGUUAAGGUUGUUUCUUUUUUUUUUGUUUUUUUGUUUAAUUAAUUCAGAGAUCCAUAGAGUGAGGUUAAUUAAUUAAUCAAUUGACCCAGUCCUUUAAUUAUAUAUUUAUUUAUUUUCUUAUUUGUGUUGCAUCAGAGGGAGAAUUCACAUGAUCACACACCAGAAAUGCACGGAAAGCCUUUAAUUACCACAACAACCAAUACACCAUCAUAAAGUUAUAAGUCCAAUUAUAAGAUCCAAAAACUUAUCCUAAAUAUAUGAGAAAGUUGCGUCAAAACCAAUUUUAACACAACUUUCUCUUAUAUAUAUAAAAAUCAAAAGAACUAUAUUCCUUUAUAUAUAAUCCAUUUAUAUAUUAUUAUUUAUAAUUUACUUUAACAGUCGUUGUUUGAAGAAAAAUUUAAGAGGACCAAAUUCUAGAGCAUAAACCAAAGCUCCCAUGCUCCCAUGCAGCCUUUUGUAGCCAUAGUAAAGUAAAAGGACCACGAUUCAUAAAUCUCAAAAUCCAUAACCAUUUUCUUCAAGAGUUUCUCCUAGUUUACUUAGCUUAUAUAAUAAACAAUUGUGAUUUGAUUUACUUCAUCUACAGCGUACAGUUAUACAAAACAUAAUAACAAUUUAAGAAACUUCCAAUUUUGACCACCAAAAUGCAAAAGUUCAGAACACUAAAUUUAUAUUCAUAGCAAAACAAUUUGUUGAUCACUACAGUGCAUUUGUGAUAUUUUAUAUAAAUAAAAGAUUAUCAAGAGCGCAAAUCUCGAGCACUUCUUUUAUAGAUGCAUUUAUUAUGUACAAAUUUUCAUACAAACUCAAGGCACAUAAUUUCUCAAGGCUUUAUGGAUCAGCUUAAGCAAGCACCUUUCUAAACAACAUAUUGCCUUUUCCGGUACAAGAAGGAUAGCCAAGCUGGUAUUCUAAGGAUUACUUAUGACACAGUCUUGAAGGUCAUGCUUGAUCAACAACUUCAUCACUGACCUUGACGUGUUGCAACAACGAGUGGUUCAACAGCGGCUAAAGGAUUAACUUGAUAUGAAAAUGCAAGCUGCCAUAAAUCGACCAAAGCCCUCUUCACUGCGACCACUUGUCUUCUUACAGUCCUAAAACAUGAAGAGUGACUAUAUUCAGAAAUUCAUAAAAGAUCAGUAACAACAGCCCAGAAAAGAAAACCAACACCAAAACAGUAGAAAAAUAAAGAUUAGUUUAAACUAAGCUAUUUUUGACACACAAGUCUAAUGUGAGGCGAUAUAGACAUGAGAUUCUACUAGGUAGCCAUGAGUUCAAGUGAUUACCUUUUUAAAGUAGCUUGCUUUCUUUUGAUAACAUAACAGACAAACAAGAUCAUACAACCAAGUAUAAUCUUCCCACUAGGUACGACGAACUCCGCAUUACCAAACUUCAAAUUAAUAGAACGGAAACACCAGAAACAUGUCUCUAUUCGUUCAGACAAUUUUGACCCUCCAUCUUUAGAUCUAUACAUUUUAUUGUUGGCAUACUUGCCUUUCAAUGCUUCAGGCAAUCCUCUACUCUCGUGUAAUUCUUUCAACGAAUAAGUUUCGUUGUUAUCUGUAGCCGUUGUAGGUGAUUGCAGAGAGGAAACUUGAGACAAAAUGGUGUUUUUAAGAGAAUGCAUAGAGUGUAACCUUCUCAGAAGUCCCUAUGAAUAGUGACAUACCAAUAUUUAGUAAAUGCAUGGGAAAUCACAUCUUAGGAGAAACAGACUGAUUUCAAAAAAGCAGGAGUCUUCAAAUAUUAAAAACUAGUUUUGCUGUUACAUUGCAGAGAAUGGUUGUUAACUUGUUAUAUUUACGAGUUCAACCUGCUAGGCACCAAGUUUUUAGAAUGAAUGAAAUAAUAACCACUAUUGACAACUAAAUCACACUACAGAUUUUUGUUAUAAAAAAUCAUUUUUUUGUAAAUGUUGAGCUAAAUAUUUCCUUAGCUGUUAGACUCUCUAAAUAAAAUCCUUAUUUUAUGCAUAUUUAUGAAACCUAAGUAUCUUAAUGCAAAAUGAUAAGCGGUUAAUAUAAAAAAAAAACAAGUAGAAUCAGUGGAAAGACAACUGACUUAGGAAUAGUGUCAGUUUAAAAUCUCAGACUAAUAGAUCAAACACAAAAAAAAACUUACAACAUAUAUUCCCUUAAAGCAAGAGAGAGGAGUUAAUUAUAGAGAAUGCACUAAUCAGGUAUUUUAAUGAAAAAAACACAGCAAAGGAGAAAUAUAAGCAUACAAUCAAGAGAUAUAUCACUUGCAGAAGAUGAACAUGCAACUUUCACUAUCAGAGUUUGAGCAGCAAUGUAAAGAAUAGAUAUCAGAUCAAGGUAGGUUGAUAAAAUUGAAGUAACAUUUGUUAUCAAAAAACAAAUUAUAGGGUCUGAGUCGGUGGUACACAAAGUAACAUUUGUUAUCAUGCUUCAAGUUUUAGACUUUACAUGCAAAAAAUUAAAUCCGAGUCUUUAAUCAACUCAACGAAACUCACCUUCCAUUAACAUAUGCACGAAGAACAAUGAGAACAAAGAGCGAAGAUAACAAUAGAAACAACCAUUGAUUUUGGUUCUUGCAAUCGGUAUAAAAUAAAAGCAUAUGAUAUGAUUCGUGCAUAAUGAUAACUUAAUGCUUAGUUCCUACUCAACUGCAUCGAUAACACCGUUGAAAUUUAACAUGUGCCACACAUAGAAAGUUCGGCUGAUUUACUGUUAACAAAGUGCAUGCCAGCAGGAAAAUUGAUCAUUUCUAAUCAGGCAAAACAAGAACAUAAGUCUGCCUCCCAACUUUCAGCUGAAAUUACUGAUUAAAAAAAGCAUUGAUGUCGUUGAAGAACUAGUAGUAACAAACUUAAUCUGCAGAGAACACUCUUACCUGUCGGUUUUCCUCAGGCAAUGGAGCAUUUUCAACCCAGGAAAUUGCAAGAUCUACAUCUUCUAGAACCGUUGCAAGAAGUGUGAUGGCAAAGACUUCAACGACUUCCAAAUAUUCAUCAAUUCCAAGAACAAAAUGCCUUUCGAAACUAUUUCCAUGCUCUACAUUUGCUUCUGCAAUGACAGCAUCAUAUUUCCCAUCACCAAGAGUCCAUCCAUUAAGAAAUUCUUCGAGAAAUUCUCGAACACCCAAAGCAGAACCUUGUGCUAUUUGAAAACAGGCUCUGAACCAAAUAAAAAAAACACAAACAUGAGUUUGACCAAUGACCUACAUAUCCCAGACUCUUGUGACAUGUAGCACCGACACCUCUGAAAAAAUGUGACUGUGUCGGUGCUGGACACCUACACCGACACUAAUAAAUAUUAAUGGUGUCGCCGUGUCAGUAUCAGUGUCGUGCUUCAUAGCUCUUGUGCAGGAAUGAGUGUGAAACAAAGCAAAAAGCAUACCCAGUAAGGAGAACUUGUGCAGGAACAGCUUUUAGUGAAAUGAAAUACAUUCUAAGUUGAUCAAGAAUUUCCGGUGUCCUGCCAAGCUGAUCGAAUGCUUGAAUGAGGACCAUAGCAGUUGAUUGAAGCAUAUCUUGAAUUGCAGUGUCUCUGUGAUCAUAAUCACGAGGCAAGCGUUUCAAGAUAGAGGAAGCUAAUGAUGCAGCUUGUUCAUACAUGGAGCAAACAAGGUAGCUACAAAAAAAACCCAUCAUUGAAAGUAUCAGCAAUAGCAAAACCCUAAUAUUUGAGUUACAGAAGAAUUGAAGAAAACAUUACCUCUCUGAAGCCUCUAUUUCUUCCCAUGUCGGUGUUUCGGAGUCGGAAUCUUCCAUAAUUUCCGUUUCAGUACGACGCCGUUAGAAAUUGCGAAUGUAGCGAAGAAAUUUGAAAAAAUGGAGAUAACGAAGAAGAAAGUGAUCGAGAUUGUGUGCGUUUGUAGCGGGAAAGGUACCAUACUUUUGGACUGUUUGACCCGUCCGAUGUAUCGAACGUCCUAUACUUUGCCACGUGUCCAUAAGUUUCUUUGAAAAAAUAAAAAAUAAAAAUAUAUCACCAACAACGUGCAAAAACCCUAACAAUGAAUCAAAAACCCUAAAACUGUAUCAUUAGUAGGAGCAAAAUGGGGAUUUUUGAACCUUAUAGAGCUAUCGGAUGUAUCGCCGGCGGCGUCCCCUUCUCCGUUCAGAGGCUCGGCACCGAAGCUUUUGUCACCGUCAGUGUUGGAAAGGCUUUUCAGAUUUUCAACGUAACAACACUCACCUUCCUUUUUUUUCUUCUUUGAUUUGUUUUUAAUAUAUAUUAUGUUUCUCUUCGCUAAACUUUCAAUUGCUUCCUGCAGUGUGCAAAGCUCACUUUGGUUGUCGUUGGUCCUCAACUUCCUAAGAAGAUUGGUGCUCUUGCUUCCUAUCGUGAUUAUACUUUUGCUGCAUAUGGAAACACCAUUGGUGUUUUCAAGAGAGCACACCAGGUUCUGUGCAUCACGAUGCUCUUAAGUUAUUUGUUUUGUAAUUUUUUGGAGCUUUUUAUUUGGGAAAUUUUAACAUUUGAUACAUUUUCAGGUUGCAACUUGGAGCAGUCAUAAUGCUAAGGUUAAAUCGCUACUGUUGUUUGGAGAACAUAUUGUUAGUCUUGAUGCUCAGGGCAACAUGUUCUUGUGGGCGUUCAAGGGAAUCGAGGACAACCUAGUUCCCGUUGGUCAUAUUAUGCUAGAUAAGAAUUUUAGCCCCAGUUGUAUUAUGCAUCCAGAUACUUACCUAAAUAAGGUAAAUAUGUCUUUCAUAAUGACAAAGAUUCAUAGAUAUAGAUAUUGUAUUGGUUAAACUUAAACCAAAGACCACUGUAAACAGGUUCUUAUUGGGAGUGAGCAAGGCCCUAUGCAGCUUUGGAACAUUAGCACAAAGAAAAAAAUAUUUGAGUUUAAAGGAUGGGAUUCACCUAUCUCCUGUUGCGUCUCAUCCCCUGCUCUAGACGUUGUCGCAGUUGGCUGUACAGAUGGAAAGAUUCAUGUUCAUAACAUACGAUAUGAUGAAGAAUUGGUUACGUUUACACAUUCCACACGUGGUUCUGUAACCGCUUUAUCUUUCAGCACUGGUAGGACCGAGCAACAUUCAAAUUCUUUAAUUCACUACACUUGCUGCAUGCAAUACUUUUGUUGUACAUAUUAUAUUUCUUUGCUAGUAAUUUGUUUGCUAAUUGUCUUUCUUAUGCUACAUGAGAUUAUGUUUGUCAUUUAUUUAUUGAAAUUAAAAGGAUUAAUAGUUUUUAGGAUUUCCAUAGGCUUUUAAUGAAGUACAUAGGGUGUGUUUGGUUCAAAUGAGGGGAGGGGUGGGGACAAAUUCAAAGAGAUAUUUGUUUUGUUGAGAGGGAGAGAGGAAUUUUAAUGGAGGGACAUUGCUAAAUUUUUUUUUACAUCAAUCAUGUCAUAUUUUAUGCCAGGAUGUUUUAGUUUAUCGCUUAAAAUUUUAUUAAAAUAUCUGCUCUCUUUUCUAAAUUCUCCCAAUCUGGGCGGGAUGCCAAAGUUAAGCGAGGAAAGACUUUGCUCCCCUCCAACUUUAGAUAAUUUUUUUUCUGCUUGCUAACUUUCUGCAAAUUUGAAUGAGGUAUUUAAUUAUUAACAUGUUUUUUUUUAAGUCUCAUUCAAAUGAACUAUGUUAAUAUUUCUAUUCAAGUAGUUGACAGUUAUGUCAGUCACACUUUUGAUUUUCUUUUGAGGUUUGCAAUUUUCAUGUUGAUGAAACUGAUCUGUUGACUUUUAUCUAAAAGAAUAUACUCCCUCCGUUUAAUUAUUAACAUGUUUUUUUUUAAGUCUCAUUCAAAUGAACUAUGUUAAUAUUUCUAUUCAAGUAGUUUGACAGUUAUGUCAGUCACACUUUUGAUUUUCUUUUGAGGUUUGCAAUUUUCAUGUUGAUGAAACUGAUCUGUUGACUUUUAUCUAAAAGAAUAUACUCCCUCCGUUUUUUAUUAUAAGUCGUUUUUGACUUUUCACACGUAUUAAGAAAUAUAAUAAUUGUGGUAUAAAAAAGAGAAAUUAUGAAGGAUUUUACAAAAUUGUCCUUCAUUAAUUGUAUUGAAAAGACAAAUUGACAUAAUUGAAAAGAGAGAGAAUAAUAAAUAUUUAAGGGUAUAAUAGGAAAAAUAACAUUAAUGAUUUAUUCAUAUUAUAAAUCAUAUAAUAGACAAAUUGACAAAAUAUUUUUCCAAAGCGACAUAUAAUAAAAAACAGAGGUAGUAAGAAUUGAGAAUAAGAAUGCAUGACACAUCACAUAAUUAAAUUGAAAAAGUGUGUUUCUUUGCAUUAUUCUAUGUUAUUUAUUGGAUUAUCUGUUUUAGAUGGACAACCCCUUCUGGCUUCUGGAGGAUCAUCUGGUGUUAUAAGCAUUUGGAAUUUAGAAAAGAAAAGGCUCCACUCAGUUGUAAGAGAGGCUCAUGAUGGUGUGAUAACUUCGCUGCAUUUUUUUGCUAACGAGCCUGUGCUAAUGAGUUCAUCGACAGACAACUCUAUUAAAGUAAGAUUUUUGUGUCAAUAAUAUGCACACUUGUAUGUAUUCAAUUAAAUUUCUUGUUUAGAGUUAAAUGUGUGAAAAUAUUAUAUUACUUUUUGGAUGUGUCAUAGGUUGUUUUCUGUUUAAUUUCAAGUUUUAAUAUGCAAAAUGAAGAUAUUUGUUUUUUAAUUCAAGAUAACUUGUAAGUUUGGAUGCCUGCAAUAUCUUAUUGAUUACUGUCAAUAUAACAUCAUUUUCCUUACUGGUAACAUUUUUUAGAAAAGUAAAAAUCUAUCUAUUCUAAUAAUCACUUGAGCUAUGUUGGUAGUCUAUACUCUUUACCGAAUAGCUGUGACUGACAAUUGGCUUCCAGCAUAGAUUAUAAUGAAUUUGUACCAAACUCUAUAUGCAGUUCUUUGUGUGUUCCUGGUUGUUACUAUUGAUACGCAUGCUCAUAUCUUUUUCCAUUUUGACUUCACUCCAUUUAAUUGAGCUAAAUGUUGCACCUGAAAUACUUUUUGUUUUGUUUGGAUAAAGCAAUCCAUUUUUAAAAAUAAUAUUUUAAAAUUUUCAUUUUUGUUGCCUGAUUUUGCUUGGUGUGGUUUAUGUUUCUAAUGUUUUUAAGUAUUUGUUCUGCCUGAACAUGAAAGAAUGGCUUUUAUUUUUUCUCAGAUGUGGAUUUUUGACACAAGUGAUGGUGACCCUCGCCUUUUGCGCUUUCGAAGUGGACAUAGUGCUCCUCCCCUCUGCAUAAAGUAAUAAUUAUUUUCUGGAUCUUAGCUUAUGAGGAUAUUUUUUUAUUAACUUUGUUGGGUAAUGUUAAUUAUUGUGGAUCAGAAAAGAGUUCUUCUACUCCAUUAUCUGCUGUUUUUUAUUUUCCAUUUGACAACCUUUCCUUGGAUGACAAUGUCAGUUCUCUCUACAUAAAUAAAGUAAUAGUGGAUUUCCAGUCUUAGUUUAUAAGAUUUUUUUCGAUUAGCUUUUUUGUCUAGUGCUAAUUACUAUUGAAACAUCUACUCCACCAUCUCUUCUCUAUAUCCAUUUGUCAACCUUUCCUUGGAUGAUUUCUGCAUUUUGGUUAUAAAGGAGUGAUUUGACUUUUAACUUCUGAAUGAAGGUCUCUAUCUAUUUACCCCUAACAUGCUUGGAAACAGUGCCACUUUCACGGCCUUUCUGUGAUUUUCAGCAUAUUGUUCUUUGUUGAAUCCCCUACGCAGAUUUGCAGAGGGGAUGUAAAACUAUUUUCCACUAACAGUUCUGUUUGAGGUUUUGCUUUGUUCCUUUUUAGUGGUGUUUUUAAAAAAAAUUAAUUUUAUGAAGGAUUCGCUACCAUUCUUCCUCCCUCCUUUUUAACUGUUCUUUUCUUCAAGUAUUUGGGUUAAAUUAGGCCAUGUGUUUUUGGUAUGGUCACCGUAUUACACAAUGGUUGUAAAUCUCACACUUCCAAUUUGCAACGUGUCAGGUUUUAUGCCAAUGGAAGACAUAUUCUUUCUGCUGGCCAGGAUCGGGCCUUUCGCCUUUUCUCGGUUAUACAGGUUAGUUGUAGUUCUUUACAGAAUGCUUUCUCUAUUCAUCAGAAAUUUUGUUACGUUUGGUUGUAAUCAACUGAAAUGUCAUUUAUUCAAGUUUUUUACAACCUAUAGGUUAUAAUCAUCUAAGUGCCUCAUACAAUAUAAGCCUUUUUGUUGUUUUCUAUGAAGAGUAUUUGAGUUGGAGUAACACUUUACAAUCGAAGGAGUACUUUAGGUUUAUUACUGAUGUAUCAGUAGACUACUCUGCAAAGAGCGCAAAGUAGUACUCUUUUGUAUAUUUGCUGAGUUUUUUUAGAAAGUUUAGAUGCAAUAGGUUAAUGCCUAUGUGUAUUUAGAUGCCCCAUCUCAUAAUAAGUGCCCCGUUUGGAAUAUUUCUGUCUCAAAUCAUGUCACUUUUAAUGCCAAAAUUAUUAUUUUUUUAUUAUUUUCCAACAAUACCUUCAUUUAUUUAAAUAAUCUAUCUGCCUAACUGCUCCACUAUAAUGAGAAGGGUGGAGUAUUUAUUAUAUACAUUUAGUCUAUGGCCUUUGCUCCCUCCAUGCCUUUUGACAUCUACUUAUAUCCCCCUCUUUUUUUUCCUACAUUUAAUGGCUUAAUCUUGUGUAUGAUUGCAGUGUGUAAUCAUUUUCUACUCAAUAUCUUUCCCCAUAUUUAUUGCUGUUGUAUUUAUUGAAUUUGAAAUUUUAAUAGGAUCAGCAAAGUAGGGAGCUUUCUCAACGCCAUGUUUCUAAACGCGCUAAGAAGCUGAGAGUUAAGGUAUGACUGGUGGUGAUCUCAUUCUGAAUUUUUUGCUGCCUUACAGAUCUUACAACAGCAUUGCUCCUUCACUAUUUCAUAUUUGAACUUUGAAGGUUUUGGUUACACACUCACCUGCAUGGCCCUGCAUAGUAAUGUCUGGUUCAGUAAGGGUGUGUUUGAUUUAAAAGAGAAGUUGUGAAGAGAGAAAUAGAUAAGAGAGCGUGAGAAGAGAGAAAAAUGUGAAAAAUAAAGUAGAUUUGAGGUACUGAUUGGUUUAAGAGAGAGAGAAGAAAUAGAGAAGAGAGAAGUGUUGCAGAUUUUGAAAAGUACUAUAAUGCCCUUAUGAUAAAUAACAUUUCAAUCAAAUUAAUUUAAUUCUUUUAAUUUAAAUUUAAUUAAUUAAUUAACUGUAUCUCUUUAUAAAAAAUACUAAUAAUUCUUUUAAGUGGCACUGAAAAAAAUUGAAAAUAAAUAAUUUUUAUCAUUGUAAAAAUCCAAAGUAUUAAAUAAAUUAAGAAAUAUAAAUAAAACAUUAAAUUAAGGGCAUAAAAGAAAUUUAAAAGGCUACACGCUCUCUUCUUCCAUUUCUUCGUUAAUGAAGAGAGAAAGGUUUUUUAGUGGGACUGAUAGACGUUUACUCUCUCUUUCCUACCUCUCCUCUGUACCAAUCAAGGUAACUUGGCCUUUUCUUAUCAACUUCUCUCCUCUUAGACUCUCUCUUCUCUACUUCUUUCAUACCAAGCACACCCUAAAAACCCCUUUACAAGGAUACUUUCAGACCUAACUCUGGAGUUCAGUGUUAAUCUGAAAAACUGCAUUUUUUAUUCAUCUUUCUAGUACUGCAGCCAUUCCCUAUAAUAAUAUAACUCUCUCCCUCCCUAACCACAAUUUCCUCUCGAUUCUUUUUGAGAAAAUUUGUGGAGAACUAAAAAGUUGCUACAUCUUGAAGGGUUUAUUCAAAUCCACAUGAUUAAAUUAGAUGUAUGAUCUAGAAGCAAUUUAUUCAAUGAACAUCACUAAUGCCUUGCUAUUUGCUAUCUCUUUAUAUAAGAUUAAAACUCCUUCCAAACUUUUAUUCCUAUCUGUACUUUGUCAACAAACUCUUAAAGAGUAAAAAUUGCAUCUGGAAUUUGUCACAUGAUUUGUUCUCAUCUGGAGUUUGUCAAUCACAUUUUUUCAUGAUAGUUGUAUGUUGUGCUCAAACUUGGAAGUCAGUAAAAUGAAGUUUGUAGUUAUUGUUAAUAAUCUGAGUAAUAAUGCCUUUUGCUAUUUGCAGCAUGGGUAGGGAGGGAUUAAGAAAUAUAUUGUAUUCUGAUUCUUUUCAUUCUUCAUGAAUGAAAUAUUGUAUUUAUUGAACACAUCAGCUAUUUUCCCACUCAACCUGCCUUGCUCAAUUAAAUGACUGUGGUGCACUUUGUUAUAGCUGCUUAUUACUAAAUAAUUGUUUCUUUUGUAAACUCAAAUUUUGUACGUUGUCUUUUACGUGCUUUAAUCCACAUUAUCUACUUCUCAUGUGUGCAUACACGUGUGAUUGUACAGGAGGAAGAAAUAAAAUUGAAGCCUGUCAUUGCGUUUGAUUGUGGUAAGUUCUUUCUUGGCAUUCAUUCAUGUGUAAUUGUGCUGGAGUGGCGGAGAUCGAACUUAUACAUGGAAUUUAAUCCAAUGACUUUAAUUGUUUCUUUUAAAUGAUUUAUCAAAAGUAUGGCUGGUAAGCAUUUGAUAUGUAUAUACGCUUACAAAGAAUUGAAUGGGUAAAUGAUGAUUGUAUAUGUCUUACAUUCUAGCUAGUUUGAUUAAUAUUUAGUAAUUGAGCAGAAAAAGGAAAUAAACACGGAAAAAGAGAAAACGUCAUAUCGAUGCCGCCCAACCCCUCUGCAUAUUAUCUGUUGAGGAAACGCCUUUUAAAGGACCAUGUGUUUUGCAUGAAAUAGAAUCCAAUCAUCUAAUAUUGUCCCAAAUCAGCUGUUAAUCCAAAGAAAACUUGAAGUUUUUUUUGUCUACUAUUGCACUUGUAGCAUUUAUGCUAUGGUUUAUAAGAGAAAGUUAUUUUAGACGUUUCACUUAUUUUUUUUCUUGUGCAAACUUCAGCUGAAAUUAGAGAGCGUGAUUGGUGCAAUGUGGUUACUUGUCAUAUGGAUACUGCUCAAGCAUAUGUGUGGAGACUUCAAAAUUUUGUUCUUGGAGAGCAUAUAUUAAAUCCAUGCCCUGAAAAUCCAACGCCUGUAAAGGUUAGGAAUUCGUCUUGACUGAAUUUUUGUUUCUUUCUGAUUCCUAACAAUUUCUGCUUUCAUAGAAGGUGUGCGUGAAGUGGUCUACUUAUUUUAGCUGGCCACUCAAUUUGUUUCUUCAAGUUACUUUUUAUAAUGAAAAAACUAUUGGACGUGUGGCAGAAUAAUACUUAAUAUGCUUCAUUUCCCUGUCAGGGUGUCAUUUUUUUAAUAGGCAUUUUGACUGAGUGUUGGAUACUAGCUGAGUAUUGCUUUCAUAUUGAAACAGGCUUGUGCCAUUAGUGCUUGUGGCAAUUUUGCCAUUUUAGGGACAGCUGGUGGUUGGAUUGAAAAGUUUAACCUUCAAUCAGGAAUUCAUAGGGGGGCUUACAUUGACACGUCAGAAUCAAGAAGUUGUGCUCAUGACAGUGAAGUGGUUGGGGUUGCUUGUGACUCAACAAAUACUUUCAUGAUAAGUGCAGGAUAUCACGGAGAUAUAAAGGUUCAUAAACAAUCAGAAAAUUUGGUUUGCAUUGCUAAUUAUACUAGAAAUUCUUAUUUAUGGGUUGUAUUGCAGGUUUGGGAUUUCAAAGGACGGGGUCUUAAAUCUAGAUGGGAGAUUGGUUGUUCUGUUGUUAAAAUUGUUUACCAUCGUUAUAAUGGUAAUCUGAAUAUUCAUUACUUUUUAAAUCCAUGUAUCCACGUGUUUGUAAAUUCCUAAUUCUUUUUUGUUAAAUAAAAUUGUGUAAGCUAUCAAUUGAAGAAAAUAAAAUUUUACUAUAUAAUUCAUAUGCUUGAGCCAUGAAGUGAUUGAAGGGUUAUAAUGAAUUUCAGGACUCCUGGCUACAGUAGCAGAUGAUUUAACAAUCAGAUUGUUUGACAUCGUGGCUCUCAGACUUGUUCGUAAAUUUGAAGGUCAUACAGAUCGUAUAACAGAUUUAUGCUUCAGUGAGGAUGGGAAGUGGCUUCUCUCAUCCAGUAUGGAUGGAAGUCUUAGAAUUUGGGAUGUGAUCUUAGCUAGACAGAUAGAUGCUAUACAAGUUGAUGUGCCUAUCACAGCAUUAUCUCUGUCCCCAAACAUGGAUAUAUUAGCAACUACCCAUGUUGAUCAAAAUGGGGUAUACCUGUGGUAAGUUUCCAAAUUUGUUUUUUUUAUCCAUUGAGCAUAAUUUUGCAGAAAAUAUUUUGCAUUUUUCAAGUGUUGCACCUAAUAUGUAUUCUUGUAUGGUUUUUGGCAAAUGAUCCUGUAAGAUGAGCAAACCGAUUCCGUCUUGUAGGUUAAAGUCAUUUUCUUGAAUGAAGGGCAACACUCUAUAUAACAUUUUCACUAUCAUGUCAAUAUAUACUUAUUUUAUUAAGUUUCUGAAAGGUGCAAACAAUCUUGAAUGGGAGAAAUGUUUCCUUUGUAAUUUAAAUGAUAUUGAAUGUAUCUAUGGUUCUAUAAAUUUCAGAAUGAAGUUGAAUGCUCUAAUAUAAAACCAUUUCUGAUAUUGAGAAAUUUUAUCAGGGUAAGCCAGACAAUGUUCUCUAGUAGUUCAAAUAUUGAUUCAUAUGCAAGUGGAAAAGAGGUUGUGAGUGUCAAGUUGCCAACUAUCUCUUCCACAGAAGAUGCUCAAGCUGAGCAUUCUGGUGUCCUGGUGAAUGCUUCUCAACCUAAAGAUGCUCCGGCGAUAACUCCGGCUGUCCCAACUCAAGAAAAGCAAAUACCCGAUUUAGUUACACUUUCACUGCUGCCCAAGAGCCAGUGGCAAAGCUUGAUCAAUUUAGACAUUAUAAAGGUCUUCUACCACUCAGAUAAUUCCUUCUCAUACUGUGAACUUCUGUUUGAACCUUAUAUUCUUCCUUUUCUGUUUCUUUUUUUAUUUUCUGUUAUGCUCUUGAAUGACAUUAGUUUGUUCUGUUUGUUGAAUGAUGAAUUCUGAAUUCCGAAUUCCAGGUUCGUAAUAAACCUAUUGAGCCUCCCAAAAAACCUGAAAAGGCUCCAUUCUUCCUGCCAUCAGUUCCAUUGCUCUCGGGGGAAAUAUUGUUUGAGCCUGGGAAGGGGUCAGUACAGGAGAACGAGGGAGUAGACAAUGAAAAGCAAAUGAACAAAACAAAAUUAGAUACACCAUCAUCCCGUUUUCUGCAUCUUCUUCAAUCCACAAAGGAUUCAGACAGUUGUAAGAAUCCUACAUUUCGUUCUUAUUUGCAUCUCAUAUGUUAAUUACAGUCAAUUAUAUCAUUCUUUGAAACUAUGUGCAUAUCCUUCAAAAUGAUUUUUCAGGAAGACAAUGUCGUUUUUUUGUAAAAAGCUGGUGUUUAGUUGUUUCAAAAUAAAUUUGUCUGUCUCUGAGCCUUGGUUUUAUUUAAGUGAUAAAACCUUUUCACCGGGUUGAUAAAUAUGCACUGGAUAUAACAAUUAUAAUUUUCUUUUCUUUUCUGAAAACUGUACUGUUAGGAUUUACUGUUCCAUAUUGCAGAUGGAGCAUUCACCGAUUAUAUCAAAGGAUUAUCUCCUUCAACUCUAGAUAUGGAACUCCGAAUGCUUCAGAUCAUUGAUGAUGACGAUGAUGAGCAAGAAGAUGAGAAGAGACCUGAGUUAGUAUCGAUUGAACAGCUGAUAGAUUAUUUUAUUUUUGAGCUCUCCUCCAGAAACAAUUUUGAGUUUCUACAAGCUGUCAUCAGGCUAUUCUUAAAGGUAAGAGACUUGCCUCGUUGGCCAUUCUAGUUGUUUAUACAAGUUCAAAUGAAUGUGAUUGUAUAUUUACUAUAUUUCUUCUUCAUCUUGGCAGAUCCAUGGGGAGACAAUUCGAAAACAUUCACACUUACAAGAAAAAGCAAGGAAACUCCUAGAUAUUCAGUCCAUGGUAUGGCAGAGGGUGGAUAAGUUGUUUCAAAGUACGAGGUGUGUGGUUGCUUUUCUUAGUAAUUCCCAAAUUCAUGCUUGACGAGUCUUCAGCUCUGCAAGUGGAAAUUUAGGCAGAAAAUGAAAACGGGUUAGAAAUAUAUUUGUUCUCCACUCAUGCUUUGAUUGAUGGAGAAAUCUGAGCAGAAAAUUGGUUAAAAAUUGUGUGGGAUGUUUUCUGUUUUCAUUUAUUAAAUUUCUGUGGGGAAUCUAAUGGAGGAAUUUUGUAUUGGGGUAAAUUAGUCUGGUAUAUUCAUCCUCGUACGAGGGCAAAUUUUGUAUCACAAAUUUUGUAACAAUUAAAUUGCAAUUUACAUUUCCCAUCAAUGCUGUCUUAAAUAUAGAUUUUAUUGCACUUCUGCACUUUUUUUUUGCUUGUGUUCAUUUACUGUAAGUUGUGUAGCUGAAAGGAUGCAAUUAAUUACAAAAACGG
rnacentral:lncRNA from 1 species